rnacentral:rRNA from 1 species
GAUGAACGCUGGCGGCGUGCCUAAUACAUGCAAGUCGAGCGAACAGACGAGGAGCUUGCUCCUCUGACGUUAGCGGCGGACGGGUGAGUAACACGUGGAUAACCUACCUAUAAGACUGGGAUAACUUCGGGAAACCGGAGCUAAUACCGGAUAAUAUAUUGAACCGCAUGGUUCAAUAGUGAAAGACGGUUUUGCUGUCACUUAUAGAUGGAUCCGCGCCGCAUUAGCUAGUUGGUAAGGUAACGGCUUACCAAGGCAACGAUGCGUAGCCGACCUGAGAGGGUGAUCGGCCACACUGGAACUGAGACACGAUCCAGACUCCUACGGGAGGCAGCAGUAGGGAAUCUUCCGCAAUGGGCGAAAGCCUGACGGAACAACGCCGCGUGAGUGAUGAAGGUCUUCGGAUCGUAAAACUCUGUUAUUAGGGAAGAACAAAUGUGUAAGUAACUAUGCACGUCUUGACGGUACCUAAUCAGAAAGCCACGGCUAACUACGUG